AUUGAACGCUGGCGGCAGGCUUAACACAUGCAAGUCGAACGAGUGGCGGACGGGUGAGUAAUGCUUGGGAAUCUAGCUUAUGGCGGGGGAUAACUACGGGAAACUGUAGCUAAUACCGCGUACCAUAGGUUGAGCCCAAGUGGGUUUAGGUAGUUGGUGAGGUAAAGGCUCACCAAGCCGACGAUCUCUAGCUGGUCUCAGAGGAUGACCAGCCACACUGGGACUGAGACACGGCCCAGAGUCCUACGGGAGGCAGCAGUGGGGAAUAUUGCGCAAUGGGGGCAACCUGACGCAGCCAUGCCGCGGGAAUGAAGAAGGCCUUCGGGUUGUAAAGUUCUUUCGGUAGCGAGGCGUUAACUACAGAAGAAGCACCGGCUAACUCCGGGCCAGCAGCCGCGGUAAUUC
rnacentral:rRNA from 1 species